UGGGGAAUCUUGCGCAAUGGAGGCAACUCUGACGCAGCCACGCCGCGUGCCGGAAGACGGCCCUAUGGGUUGUAAACGGCUUUUACCAGGGAAGAACCCGGGGGAUUCGUCCCCCGCUGACGGUACCUGGUGAAUAAGCACCGGCUAACUCGGAGCCAGCAGCCGCGGUAAUACGGAGGGAGCAAGCGUUGUCCGGAAUCAUUGGGUGUAAAGGGAGCGUAGGCGGAAGCAUAAGUCGGGGGUGAAAUCCUGCCGCUCAACGGCAGAAUGGCCUUCGAUACUGGGUUUCUUGAGUCCGGAAGAGGUUGGUGGAAUUCGUGGUGUAGCGGUGAAAUGCAUAGAUAUCACGAAGAACACCGGUGGCGAAGGCGGCCAACUGGUCCGGCACUGACGCUGAGGCACGAGAGCGUGGGGAGCGAACAGGAUUAGAUACCCCCGUAGUCC
rnacentral:rRNA from 1 species